rnacentral:rRNA from 1 species
GAUGAACGCUGGCGGCAGGCCUAACACAUGCAAGUCGAGCGGAUGACGGGAGCUUGCUCCUUGAUUCAGCGGCGGACGGGUGAGUAAUGCCUAGGAAUCUGCCUGGUAGUGGGGGACAACGUUUCGAAAGGAACGCUAAUACCGCAUACGUCCUACGGGAGAAAGCAGGGGACCUUCGGGCCUUGCGCUAUCAGAUGAGCCGAGGUCGGAUUAGCUAGUUGGUGAGGUAAUGGCUCACCAAGGCGACGAUCCGUAACUGGUCUGAGAGGAUGAUCAGUCACACUGGAACUGAGACACGGUCCAGACUCCUACGGGAGGCAGCAGUGGGGAAUAUUGGACAAUGGGCGAAAGCCUGAUCCAGCCAUGCCGCGUGUGUGAAGAAGGUCUUCGGAUUGUAAAGCACUUUAAGUUGGGAGGAAGGGCAGUAAGUUAAUACCUUGCUGUUUUGACGUUACCGACAGAAUAAGCACCGGCUAACUCUGUGCCAGCCGCCGCCGUAAAAC